GCUGGCGUAGCUCAGUCGGUAGAGCAGCUGAUUUGUAAUCAGCGGGUCGGGGGUUCAAAUCCCUUCGCCAGCUCCA
rnacentral:tRNA from 1 species